GCCUGCCCUGUGACUAUGGGUUUAACGGCCGCGGUAUUUUGACCGUGCGAAGGUAGCGCAAUCACUUGUCUUUUAAAUGAAGACCUGUAUGAAUGGCAUCACGAGGGCUUAGCUGUCUCCUCUUCCAAGUCGAUGAAAUUGAUCUGCCCGUGCAGAAGCGGGCAUAAAUACAUAAGACGAGAAGACCCUAUGGAGCUUUAGACACCAGGCAGAUCACGUCAAACAACCUUGAGCUAGCAAGUAAAAACGCAGUGACCCCUAGCCCAUAUGUCUUUGGUUGGGGCGACCGCGGGGGAAAAUAAAGCCCCCAUGUGGACUGGGGGCACUGCCCUCACAGCCGAGAGCUACAGCUCUAAGCACCAGAAUUUCUGACCAAAAAUGAUCCGGCGAACGCCGAUCAACGGACCGAGUUACCCUAGGGAUAACAGCGCAAUCCUCUCCCAGAGUCCCUAUCGACGAGGGGGUUUACGACCUCGAUGUUGGAUCAGGACAUCCUAAUGGUGCAGCCGCUAUUAAGGGUUCGUUUGU
rnacentral:rRNA from 1 species